rnacentral:antisense_RNA from 1 species
UUUGGAGUCAAAGGUAAAUCCAUGAGUUGACCACUUAUUGCUGUGAGACCCUGGACAGCCAGAUAUAGAGUUCUUGUUCUAGCACUGGCCCUAGGAAUCCCCAGAACUGGGCCUCUUACCCACACCACUGCCUGUAAUCCACAAACCUAUGAGGACAUUACUUUCCAUCUAAAAAGUAAUAAUGUGAAAACCACAUAGGGUGAAUGGUAUAGAGCCGAGAAGUGCCUGCUCCGGAGGCUGCAAGCUCGGGCUCCCGCAGCACAGCUGCUGCCCACUCUGCUGGAGGCCUCUUCUGGGUGCAUCUUCAUGAGUUACAAGAAGCACAUUACUUUGACCCCAAAGGGAACACUACACUUCCUUAAAAAUUAAGAGUGUGUGCUACACUGCUUUACUAGAGCAAGACCAAAAGCAGCUUCAAUUAUGGUACAACUGUGUGAAGACACAAUGCAAAACCACUCAAGAAUGCUCACUCAAAUGGAUCUUUUACGAUGGAAUUCGGAAACGGGACCCAGAAAGUUGUUUCCUGCAAGUGGCUGGAACAACACAAGCAAUAAGUAUCCUGAAACAGGCCCUG